rnacentral:rRNA from 1 species
UACGUAGGGGGCAAGCGUUGUCCGGAAUCAUUGGGCGUAAAGAGCGUGUAGGCGGUCCUGUAAGUCCGCUGUGAAAGUCAAGGGCUCAACCCUUGAAUGCCGGUGGAUACUGCAGGACUAGAGUCCGGAAGAGGCGAGUGGAAUUCCUGGUGUAGCGGUGAAAUGCGCAGAUAUCAGGAGGAACACCAAUGGCGAAGGCAGCUCGCUGGGACGGUACUGACGCUGAGACGCGAAAGCGUGGGGAGCAAACAGG